GUCCAACGGUUUCAUAAUGUCCAAUUCCCGGAAUGUCCAAUUCCCAAAAUGUCCAAUUCUCAAAAUGACCAAUUCCCAAAAUGUCCAAUUCCUGAAAUGUCCUGUUCCAGAAACGUCCAAUUCCCAAAAUGUCAAAUCUGCUAUUAUGAUGGGUUUGUUAAAAUAAGUCCUCAUUCUUCCGUUAAUGUUGAGUGUUAUCGGUACACGCUAAAUCAGUGUUACUUUACUAAAACUACCUCCUUCUUAUAAAGACAGAUUAAUCCGAAAUCUAAUUGUGCAAAUGUUGUAUGGAUUGAAGUAUUCGGUCCCUACAAACAUAUUUGCAACAUUAUAAAAUGCAUGAAAAAAAAACGCGAACGGUCGGGGGGUCGCCAAAAUUUUUUUCAUACUAGGGGGGUCGUGUUAUGAAAAAGGUUGAAAAACACUGCGCUAAAUGAUCCAUGAGUGCACACGCACACUACAGUAAUGCCUUACGGAUUGCUCGGACCACACUCCCCGCACCCCGCGCGACCGGGACCAAACAUUGCGCGCGGCCGAGUGGAUGAAACGAUCUAUAGCCAAAAAGUUAUCAAUACGUCUUUGGUACAGUUGGACUCAACUUUUUGGUCACUAGGUGUCAUGAACUACUUAUUAACGCUGACUGAAAUAACAACAUUAUUUUAGCCUAGGCGCAGACCAGCGAUUUUUAGUUGGCCGAUAGUUGGGCCCGUUUUUAAUUUGUAUGAAGAAUCGGCCGAUACCAAAUCGGUGUAAUGUGCGCACUUCCAUACAUCUCCAUACUGACUGAAAGUCGGUGGUCUGCGCUUAGGCUUAAACAUUUAUUUUUCUAAAUACAAAUAUUGUAAGAACGUUUGUUUGAUUCCUAUAUAAUGUGUAAUGUUUGUUUAUCGCCUAAGCCUGAGAAAAUUCAUACUACUAUUAUGAAAUAAAAUAAAUUUCAAGAUUUGUA